AUACUGAGGGUGCAAGCGUUAAUCGGAAUUACUGGGCGUAAAGCGCACGUAGGCGGUUUAUUAAGUCAGAUGUGCAAGCCCUGGGCUUAACCCGGGAACUGCAUUUGAGACUGGUAGGCUAGAGUAUGGUAGAGGAUAGUGGAAUUCCGGGUGUAGCGGUGAAAUGCGUAGAUAUCCGGAGGAACAUCAGUGGCGAAGGCGGCUAUCUGGACCAAUACUGACGCUGAGGUGCGAAAGCGUGGGGAGCAAACAGGAUUAGAAACCCUAGAGUCC
rnacentral:rRNA from 1 species